rnacentral:rRNA from 1 species
UACGAAGGGGGCUAGCGUUGCUCGGAAUCACUGGGCGUAAAGCGCACGUAGGCGGCUCUUUAAGUCGGGGGUGAAAGCCUGUGGCUCAACCACAGAAUGGCCUUCGAUACUGGGACGCUUGAGUAUGGUAGAGGUUGGUGGAACUGCGAAGUGUAGAGGUGAAAUUCGAUAGAUAUUCGCGAAGAACACCGGUGGCGAAGGCGGCCAACUGGACCAUUACUGACGCUGAGCGCGAAAGCGUGGGGAGC